AGCGAACGCUGGCGGCAUGCCUAACACAUGCAAGUCGCACGGUGGGGCUUCGGCCUCCCAGUGGCGGACGGGUGAGGAACGCGUAGGGACCUGUCGAGGGGUGGGCGAUAACCGCGGGAAACUGCGGCUAAUACCGCAUGACGCCGCGGCGUGACAGCCGGGGCCAAAGGCGAUAGCCGCCCGCCGAGGGGCCGGCGUCCGAUUAGCUGUUUGGCGGGGUAGCGGCCCAUCAAGGCGUCGAUCGGUAGCUGGUCUGAGAGGGUGAUCAGCCACACCGGGACUGAGACACGGCCCGGACUCUUACAGGAGGCAGCAGAGGGGAAUAUUGGACAAUGGGCGCAAGCCUGAGCCAGCAAUGCCGAGUGGGUGAAGAAGGUCUUCAGAUUGUAAAGCCCUUUCGGCGGGGACGAUGGUGACGGUACCCGCAGAAGAAGCCCCGGCUAACUUCGUG
rnacentral:rRNA from 1 species